rnacentral:lncRNA from 1 species
AACAAGCUCAAAUACAAGGUUUUUGCAAGGAUUUUCGUUCACCUAUACAAAUCUAAGAACCCCACAUAAGAAAGGAAAAAUCUUUCUUUUUAUAGAAAUGAAACUCUGCAUCCACAAAAAAUAUAUAGGAAAAAAAUGUAGGAAAAUCAGAAUCUUGGAUUUUAUUGAGAAAACUGAGACUUGUAAGAUGGCAGAAAACAAAACCCCAGAUUUGAAAUCUAGGGUUUAGAUAGAAGAAUGCAAGAGUAGAUGAAGUUAAAGGGGGAAAAAGGGUAGUAAAAGAGAAGAGAAGAAAAAGACAAAAGAGUUUGAGUUGGGAAAUGGGAAGAGGAAGGAAAAAAAUGAAUAAAAAAAUGGGCUUUUGAAAAGGGGGUAAGUGAAGUGAAGGGUGUGUGUGAAACAGAUGGGUGUAGAUAGAGUGAAAGAGUCUUUCUUUAAUAGAUGUGUGAUCACAAGUCACAAGUCACUAUGAAUGAAUCUCUAUGAUGAUGAUAUGUGAUGACAAGUGAAAAUGGAUGGAGUGGUGAUGGUGGAAGGAAGGAAGUAUCUUCUGACCAAGAAGGCAGAAAGAGAGGAAAAAGUAAACAUAGAAACAAAAGAAGAGUAGCAGGGAGGGACGGCAGAAUAGUGUGUGUAUUGGAGGGAAAUUGUGGCCUACCAAAAGUACCAAACCUCAUGCCAUGCCCCUUUUUUUUUUCUUUCUUGUUAAAAAGUUAGGUUAGUUGGGAAU